rnacentral:rRNA from 1 species
GUGGGGAAUCUUGCGCAAUGGGCGAAAGCCUGACGCAGCAACGCCGCGUGGGGGAUGAAGGCUCUCGGGUUGUAAACCCCUUUCAGCAGGGACGAAUCAAGACGGUACCUGCAGAAGAAGCCCCGGCUAACUACGUGCCAGCAGCCGUGGCAACACGUAGGGGGCAAGCGUUGUCCGGAUUUAUUGGGCGUAAAGAGCUCGUAGGUGGCUGAGUAAGUCGGAUGUCAAAUCCCCAGGCUCAACCUGGGAUCCCAUCCGAUACUGCUCUGAGUAGAGUCCGGUAGGGGAGCGUGGAAUUCCUGGUGUAGCGGUGAAAUGCGCAGAUAUCAGGAGGAACACCAGCGGCGAAGGCGGCGCUCUGGGCCGGUACUGACACUGAGGAGCGAAAGCGUGGGUAGCAAACAGGAUUAGAUACCCUUGUAGUCC